ACCUGCGGAAGGAUCAUUAUCGAGUUCGGGUCUCUCAGGCCCCACUCCCGCCCUCGUCUACCCUACCAUGUUGCUGUGGCGGGCCCGUCCGUCGCUGGACCGCCGGUUGGCAUGCCCUCCGGCCCGUGCCCGCCAGUAGCCCCAACCAACUCGUUUUAACCGUGGAGUCUGAGUCAUGAAAUCUAGAAGCAAAACUUUCAACAACGGAUCUCUUGGUUCUGGCAUCGAUGAAGAACGCAGCGAAAUGCGAUAAGUAAUGCGAAUUGCAGAAUUCCGUGAGUCAUCGAAUCUUUGAACGCACAUUGCGCCCUUUGGUAUUCCGAAGGGCAUGCCUGUUCGAGCGUCAUUUCACCCCUCAAGCCUGGCUUGCCGUUGGGUCCCGCCGUUGGGAAAGACGGCGGGCCUGAAAGAUAAUGGCGGAGCCCGUGGGGACCGUGGACGUAACGAGCCUCCCAGGCACGCGUCCCGAUCGUCUCUCGGGUCGCCUCAACCCCAGAACUUCUCUCGGAUUGACCUCGG
rnacentral:rRNA from 1 species